AACUUCCCAACACUACUGGUUAGCUUCUACACACUCCUUAAAGAAAAUCCAAGGAACAAGGAAUUCAUUGAAAUUUAUGUAACGAAAGGUAUACAGAUUAAGUGUAGUGCAGAAAUUCGAACAAAUAAGAAAGCGCCACCUAGCAGGAAGAUAUGGGAGCAGGGACCCUCCCUGACAAAAGAUUCCGGACCGAGGUCGAGAACAUUUUACAUGAGCACCACAUCUGGCAAUUAUACAACAAGCA
rnacentral:lncRNA from 1 species